GGGCGCUUAGCUCAGUUGGAAGAGUGCUUCGUUUGCAACGAAGAUGCCGGGGGUUCAAAUCCCCCAGCGUCCACCA
rnacentral:tRNA from 2 species